rnacentral:rRNA from 1 species
UACGAAGGGUGCAAGCGUUACUCGGAAUUACUGGGCGUAAAGCGUGCGUAGGUGGUUAGUUAAGUCUGAUGUGAAAGCCCGUGGGCUCAACCUGGGAACUGCAUUGGAAACUGGCUUACUAGAGUGCGGUAGAGGGGUGUGGAAUUCCCGGUGUAGCAGUGAAAUGCGUAGAUAUCGGGAGGAACAUCUGUGGCGAAGGCGACACCCUGGACCAGCACUGACACUGAGGCACGAAAGCGUGGGGAGCAAACAGG